GUGGGGGAUAACGCAGCGAAAGCUGUGCUAAUACCGCAUACGAUCAAUGGAUGAAAGCGGGGGACCGUAAGGCCUCGCGCGAUUGGAGCGGCCGAUGUCAGAUUAGGUAGUUGGUGGGGUAAAGGCCUACCAAGCCAACGAUCUGUAGCUGGUCUGAGAGGACGACCAGCCACACUGGGACUGAGACACGGCCCAGACUCCUACGGGAGGCAGCAGUGGGGAAUUUUGGACAAUGGGCGCAAGCCUGAUCCAGCAAUGCCGCGUGCAGGAAGAAGGCCUUCGGGUUGUAAACUGCUUUUGUACGGAACGAAACGGUCUGGAUUAAUACCCUGGGCUAAUGACGGUACCGUA
rnacentral:rRNA from 2 species